AUUGAACGCUGGCGGCAGGCUUAACACAUGCAAGUCGAGCGGGGGAAGGUAGCUUGCUACCGGACCUAGCGGCGGACGGGAGAGUAAUGCUUAAGAAUCUGCCAAUUAGUGGGGGACAACAUCUCGAAAGGGAUGCUAAUACCGCAUACGUCCUACGGGAGAAAGCAGGGGAUCUUCGGACCUUGCGCUAAUAGAUGAGCCUAAGUCGGAUUAGCUAGUUGGUGGGGUAAAGGCCUACCAAGGCGACGAUCUGUAGCGGGUCUGAGAGGAUGAUCCGCCACACUGGGACUGAGACACGGCCCAGACUCCUACGGGAGGCAGCAGUGGGGAAUAUUGGACAAUGGGGGGAACCCUGAUCCAGCCAUGCCGCGUGUGUGAAGAAGGCCUUAUGGUUGUAAAGCACUUUAAGCGAGGAGGAGGCUACUUUAGUUAAUACCUAGAGAUAGUGGACGUUACUCGCAGAAUAAGCACCGGCUAACUCUGUGCCAGCCGCCGCAGUAA
rnacentral:rRNA from 1 species